rnacentral:lncRNA from 13 species
AGAAGUUGCCAUGGGAGGUCCACUGCUUGCUGGAAAGGAACAUGGUCGAUUCUUGUGAGCAAUAGAGGCCCUGCAGAGUCCUGCAGCCACUGUGGCCUGGCAUCCACUGUACACCCCUGCUGAUGGAUGUCUCAGGAUGGGGCAGUUGCCUUGAGAGGCCCGCUGCAUGCUGGCUUGACAGAUGGUUGUUUCUUCUGAGCAAUGGAGUCCCCACGGAGUCGUGGAGUCAUUAUGGCCUGGCAUCCAUGGUGCAUCUCAUGCUGGCGGUGUCUCAGGAUGUUGCCUUGAGAGGCCCACCACAUGCUGGCCUGACAGAUGGUUGUUUCUUCUGAGCAAUGGAGUCCCCACGGAGUCGUGGAGUCAUUAUGGCCUGGCAUCCAUGGUGCAUCUCAUGCUGGCAGGUGGCUCAGGAUGGGGCAGUUGCCUUGAGAGGCCCACCGCAUGCUGGCCUGACAGAUGGUUGUUUCUUCUGAGCAAUGGAGUCCCCACGGAGUCGUGGAGUCAUUAUGGCCUGGCAUCCAUGGUGCAUCUCAUGCUGGCGGUGUCUCAGGAUGGUGAGCAUUCCUCUCCCCUCAUGCUGAGUGAGGGUAUCUUACGGAUUUCCAAGACAGGCAUUGCCCAGCCUGUGGUAUCAAAUGUCCUGUGUCUUCAAAUGUGCUUGGAUCGAUGA